rnacentral:rRNA from 1 species
GACGAACGCUGGCGGCGUGCUUAACACAUGCAAGUCGAGCGGUAAGGCCCUUUCGGGGGUACACGAGCGGCGAACGGGUGAGUAACACGUGGGUGACCUGCCUUUAGCUCUGGGAUAAGCCUGGGAAACUGGGUCUAAUACCGGAUAUGACCCUAUGGCGCAUGUUGUGGGGUGGAAAGCCUUGUGCGGCUAGGGAUAGGCCCGCGGCCUAUCAGCUUGUUGGUGGGGUGAUGGCCUACCAAGGCGACGACGGGUAGCCGGCCUGAGAGGGCGACCGGCCACACUGGGACUGAGACACGGCCCAGACUCCUACGGGAGGCAGCAGUGGGGAAUCUUGCGCAAUGGGCGAAAGCCUGACGCAGCGACGCCGCGUGAGGGAUGACGGCCUCGGUUGUAA